UGGGGUUGUGGCUCAGUGGUAGAGCAUUUGCCUAGCAUGUGCAAGGCCCUGGGUUCAACCCUCAGCACCACAA
rnacentral:tRNA from 1 species